rnacentral:misc_RNA from 1 species
GUAAACGAUUAUAUGCGACAAAUGAACCUCAUGUAGGGAAGGGAAUGCAAGAUGAAAGUAAAAUUUCCCCCUCGUUUUAAAAGAUACCCCUUGCCAUAUUGAAUAUAAGAACCUAAAUACCACCCACAGCCACAUGAUAAGUAAUUUUUUGAAUGGGCGAAAUCAUGUGGGUACCAAGAUUUGAUUUUUAAUUAUACAUUACAAUAAAAAUAUAUUCCCUAUUUUAAGAAAGCGAAACCCUAAAUUUGAAAAUAAGAGCGCCAAAAAGUGUCAAAUUGGGGUGUUGUGACAUGAAAAAUGUAAUAAACAUUCUAUUUUUAUCAAAGCUUCUAUAUGCAUCCAAACAAAAACAUGACCCACUCAAUCAAUCACCAACAAAUCACCCCUUUGCCACCUCACCCAAGUCAUUUGACCCGCCAAACCCACGCGUGCGGCUCCGGACCCGCUUCAGCUCCUCCACCACCUCCCUCGAAUCCGGCCUAUCAUCCUUAUCCGCCGCCACGCAUCGGAAUGCCAGCUCCGCCACCGCAUAUACGCUCUCAUUCCCCUCCCCCUCCACAGCCAAUACUGGGUCCACUACCUGAUGGAGCUGACCCAUUUGGAUCUUGGAUACUACUAGAUCAGCCAACGCCAUUUCUCUCUUGUCUCUGCUCUGAUCCACCGCUUUCAACCCUGAAAUUAGCUCUAAUAACACCACUCCGAAACUGUACACGUCGCUCUUCUCUGUCAACCUGAAGGACCGGUGGUAAUCCGGGUCCAAGUACCCGGGCGUGCCCUGAGGUCCGGUCCAUACAUACCCAGAUGAAGACGAUGACGUUUCCGGGAAAACCAGGAGCCUUGAGAGUCCAAAGUCCCCGACUUUGAUUCUCAUAUCUUUCUCAACAAAAAUGUUUGACGAUGUUAUAUCUCUGUGAACAACCGCCGGCUGAACCGCGAAAUGCAAGUACUCCAGAGCUAGAGCCGUUUGCAAUGCAAUAUCAAUCCUCACUUGCCAUGUUAAAGACGCUUUGCGGCGCAAGCUCUUCGGGCCAUGGAGGUGGUCGGCUAGAGUGCCAUUAGGGACAUAGUCGUACACUAGAAGUAACCCUCUCGGGUCGCUGCAGUAUCCGUGAAGCUUAACGAGAUUUGGGUGAUCUAUUGAAGAUAAUAUCAGGAUUUCAUUGCAGAAUGACUUGGUAGAGAAUGCUCUGCUAGCGGCGGCGGCAUUGUGUUGUUUGUGCAGGUAUUUAACAGCAACGAUUCGACCAUCGUAGAGAUGGCCCAAGAAUACGGACCCGAAACCACCAUCACCAAUUUUGCGCUUUGGGUCGAAGCGGUUGGUGGAGGAUUCCAGCUCCUCGUAGGUGAAUACGGGAGGAAGCAGACUAGCAGAGCGGUAGCGGUGAAGGAAUAGUGUUGUUGGGUCUUCUUGUGUUGCUAACGAUCUCAAGCGCCUGGACCUGUAAAUCGCUGCAACAACCAAAAUGACGAGUAGUAAACACAGUACUGUGAAGAUUGAACACAAAAUGGCAAUUCGAUUAGCAUCAUCUUCGCGAAUCCAAGGAGGUGAGAAGCGAGAUCUAGGCUGAAAACAGAGGAAUCCCUUUUCUGGGUCUGACGAAUUGAAGCCGCAAACUCCAUUCUUGGAUUUGCAGUCUCUGCAGUUUGAGAAGUAAGAAUCUUGAAAUUCAUCAUACUCAACCUGGAGACCAAUCGUUAACAACUUGUCAAGAAAGCCUAGAAUGUCAUAUUGACAGCCCUGCCCGGAGAGAGGGCGGUGAGUAGAUCCACAACCAUGGAGGAGUUGAGCGGGGUUCUUGAUGAGCUUGCAUUCCCAGGGACAAUGACUGCAAUUGGGGAGAUUUGGGAAGGAACAAGAGCGAACAACAGAGAGGCGAGCGCAGUCAGAGUCAGAAAAUCGAAAUGGCGAACCAGAGAGAUUGAUGGAUUGGGCAGGAAUGGAAAGAGAAGAACAAUUGGUUUGAGUCGAUGUUUUGGUGGGUGUAAAGGAGUGGGUUUGGGGAGAGAGAGUGAGAGAAGAAGAGUUAGGUUCGAAGCGUAUGAGAUAGAAAGAAAGAUUGUUAAUGGAGAUGAUGGAGUAAGGGGAAGAGCAUUUCAGUUGGAAGGAAGGGUGACCACAACCGGGCGAUAUAGAGAAGGGAAAAGGAGGAGCAGAUGGGAAUGGAGGACAAGAAGAUCUGGAAAAUGCUUCAGGUUUGAAAGCACAAGCUUGACCACCAGCUAAAAUGGCAUUCAGAGAAAACACUAGGAGUAGGAAAAAGACAGCGGAGGAAAGGGGUGAGGGUGGUUGAGGCAUUGAGGAAGAGAGAAAGCAUAACAAUAUUCAUCAACAAAAGAAAGAGGAAACAAGCGAUUUUUUUGAUCUGAAGAGUGAAGAGAGAAGGAGGGAGGAGAGAAAGGGAUUCACGUGAAGAGUGAAGACAAAAACAACUCGAAAGGGGUGAGAACCUGCGACGCGAGGGCCAAGGUGUUUUGAAAAUUGCUUUAGGAGUCUAAAAAUCUGAAAGAGAAAGAGACA